AGAGUUUGAUCCUGGCUCAGGAUGAACGCUAGCGGGAGGCCUAACACAUGCAAGCCGAGCGGUAUUGUUUCUUCGGAAAUGAGAGAGCGGCGCACGGGUGCGGAACACGUGUGCAACCUGCCUUUAUCUGGGGGAUAGCCUUUCGAAAGGAAGAUUAAUACCCCAUAAUAUAAUUGAUGGCAUCAUUGAUUAUUGAAAACUCCGGUGGAUAGAGAUGGGCACGCGCAAGAUUAGAUAGUUGGUAGGGUAACGGCCUACCAAGUCAGUGAUCUUUAGGGGGCCUGAGAGGGUGAUCCCCCACACUGGUACUGAGACACGGACCAGACUCCUACGGGAGGCAGCAGUGAGGAAUAUUGGACAAUGGGUGAGAGCCUGAUCCAGCCAUCCCGCGUGAAGGACGACGGCCCUAUGGGUUGUAAACUUCUUUUGUAUAGGGAUAAACCUUUCCACGUGUGGAAAGCUGAGGGUACUAUACGAAUAAGCACCGGCUAACUCCGUG
rnacentral:rRNA from 1 species